UACGUUGAAUAAACACAAUUGAUUACACUCCAACAUCGCCCUCAACAAUUGAGCAAUCGAACUCCUUCUGCGAACAAUCGCGACCAACCUCUGGUCUCAUCAUUGGCGGCCCUGCUGGUCGUCUAACCGUCCGAUCAAGCUUUAGAUUAUGUGGAUGGUGUUGGGGAUGAGGCAGGAAUGAUAUUUGGUGGUCCAAUUGGUGAUCGGUCGGGGUCUAAGAACUCUCGCGAUCGGACCCAGAUUUCGGCGAUGGUGGAUUUACCGGCGACCCAACUGUUGCAUGGACGAUCAGAGAGUCCGAUGGCUGCUCUUUCUCCCAGUUGCUGGCCGGCACCAUGGCUUUCCCACUAGCGAAACCCAGUCUUUUGGAGGAUAGCUCAUCGAAGAAGGCGAGUUCUGGGUGGGGUAGUGAGAAAUGAUCCGGGUAUAAGCAGAAUCGGCUGGUGAGCUUGGCAGGGGCUGCUCUUUCGUUGCUCUUAGUUGUCCCGUCGGGGUUAAGUCCUUCCGGGUUGCUCAAUUCACCCGGGUUCCUCUUUCCGCUUCAUCUGCUGACCGGCGCCAUGGCUUCCCCACUCGCGAAACAUAGUCUUUUGGAGGAUAGCUCAUCGCAAAAGGCAAGUUCUAGGGCGGGGAGUGAGAAACAAUCCAGGUAUAAGCAGAAUCGACCAGUGAGCUUGGUAGGGGCUGUUCUUUCGCUAUUGUUGAUAGUUGUCCCGCUGGGGUUAAGUCCUUCCAGGUUGCUCAAUUCACCCGAGUUCCUCUCUCCGCUUCAGGUAAUUCGCUCAAUUGCUCAUUUUCAUUGAUUAUUACGAUGGGUUCUCUAUUUUGAUGUUCUUAAUUAGCUUUUUGUUUUUCCCCCUUUCUUUGGGUUUCAAUUUCUCACUCAAUUUUUUUUUCUUCUCCCCUAAAUUGUAUGUUGCCAUAGAUUCCUGCUAGCAUUCCUUUUUCCAUGGCAUGCUUUGUUCUUGCUAAUGUAAUGUUAUGUUAAAGA